AUUAUGCAUCUGGUGGCGUAGGUAGGAAUUCUCAAUGACACUGGACUCUAUUUUAGAUUGUCCUUUGAUGAUCAAAUACAAAAUUUCAACAAGACAAAGGAAGCCAUCAAGGCUAAGAUUGGGGGAGAGGCUGCAGCCAAGGUUUGCAGUGAAGCCGUCUACUUGAUUGGAAUUGGCAGCAAUGAUUAUGUCAACAAUUACUUGCAACCCUUUUUAGCUGAUGGUCAGCAGUACACUUACGAUGAAUUUGUGGAACUAUUAAUCACCACAUUAGAGGGGCAAUUUACGGUUAGUAAUAUUUCUCUUCUUUCUGAGUUUCUGGUUUAUGUUUACAACAUUCCACAUUUUGGAGAACCAUAAAACUUAUGUUUAUUAUCCUAAUUGUUUGUGUUAAGA